rnacentral:misc_RNA from 1 species
GUGUAACGCAGUGGAUGAAUAUUUUUGAAGCUGAAUGUAUUCGUAUAGGUAUAAAUGAAGAUAUUCAAAAGAUACAAGUGUUUCGGUUAUUUUUGGAGGAUUCUUGUCAAGAUUGGUAUAACUCUAUGCUUAUAAAAUACACAAUAAACUCAGAAUGGGGUAUUUGGAAAAAAAAAUUUUGUGAAACGUAUGUGAACAAAGGCUGGUCACCAAUAAGGUAAUUUAUUAUAAUUUAUAAAUAAGAAUGUAGAAUUAAGUUGUUUAAAAAAAUAAUUUGUUAUGUUCUAUAAAAAAUAAAAUUCUCUUUACAGAGCAACA